rnacentral:rRNA from 1 species
GCCAGCAGCUAUAUCACCCUGCAGCUCUCACCUAGCUACCCACUGAAACUAAACAGGGUUGAGCCUGUACCUGGAUGAGAGACCUCCUGGGAAGUUAUGGUUGCUGCUUUCC